rnacentral:rRNA from 1 species
AUUGAACGCUGGCGGCAGGCCUAACACAUGCAAGUCGAACGAGUGGCGGACGGGUGAGUAAUGUCUGGGAAACUGCCUGAUGGAGGGGGAUAACUACUGGAAACGGUAGCUAAUACCGCAUACCAUCAGAUGUGCCCAGAUGGGAUUAGCUAGUUGGUGGGGUAACGGCUCACCAAGGCGACGAUCCCUAGCUGGUCUGAGAGGAUGACCGGCACCACUGGACGUGAGAAACGGUCCAGACUCCUACGGGAGGCAGCAGUGGGGAAUAUUGCACAAGGGGCGCAAGCCUGAUGCAGCAAUGCCGCGUGUAUGAAAAAGGCCUUCGGGUUGUAAAGUACGUUCAGCGGGGAGGCGGUACCCGCAGAGGAAGCACCGGCUAACUACGUGCCAGCAGCCGCGGUAAUAC